rnacentral:tRNA from 1 species
AGGGAUGUAGCUCAGUGGUAGAGUAUGUACUUUGCAUGGGCAGGUCCCUGAGUUCAGUCCCCAGCAUCACAA